UACGGGGGGGGCAAGCGUUGUUCGGAUUCACUGGGUUUAAAGGGUGCGUAGGCGGAUUGGUAAGUCCGACGUGAAAUCCCCAGGCUUAACCUGGGAACUGCGUCGGAUACUGGAUGGCUUGAAUUCGGGAGAGGGAUGCAGAAUUCCAGGUGUAGCGGUGAAAUGCGUAGAUAUCGUGUGGAACGCCAAUGGUGAAAGCAGGUCGCUGGGGAUGCGCUGACGCUGAGACACGAAAGCCAGGGGAGCAAACGGG
rnacentral:rRNA from 1 species